rnacentral:tRNA from 1 species
GGUUCGUUGGCAGAGUUGCUAUGCAGCGGAUUGCAAAUCCGUGAUUCUCCGUUCGACUCCGGACGCGCCUCCA